ACACCUCAACUCUCAUGGUUUGCUGUGAUGAGCUUGGACUCUGGGGGUUUUGCUGGCCUGUGGUCAGCUCCCCUCAAAUGAAUCAGCCUCCCAGUGUUUGGUGGCAUCACGGGUGUGAUAAAUAUCUAUGCUCGCGGUUGUCUGCCAGGUAACCUUUGGUGACAAAGGUUUGCUGGAGCUCACAGAUGUCUCUCCUCAGCGAGGACAGCUUUUUGAAC
rnacentral:misc_RNA from 1 species